UUGUGAGAAGAGCCACAAGAUGGAGGAAGACUCCGAGAGGGACCCGUGAACAACACACACCGGGCGCCAAGGGAAUUUUCUCGCGUCGGACCCCAUGCCAAUCAAUCCCUGAAAAUGGCGCCCGCGAGACCUCCACUCCACACGACCAUCUCUCGACCGCACGCUGAGCGCGAGAUAUAGGUAGCCGCCACGCGCCCAUGCCCGGCGGGGUCGAGCGCCCAGCAUGGACAGAUGCAGAGCACCCGAGGCCAAGCCACCGGAUCACGCAGAUGCCGACGACUCCGAUGAGCUCAGCGUCUUUGCCGCCGAGCGCUACUUCUACGGAGACGACGCGCUGCUGUGGCCGUGCGAGCGCUCCUCGUCUUCGCUGUCGUCGUCCGCGUUCCGGACGGGGACGCACGAGCACGACCGGUCCGUCCCGACGCCGACGGCCGUCACUAGCUCGUCCGAAGCAAGCUGGAACAGCCGCUCCGCUCUGCUGCCCAAUGAGCCGGCCGAGAAGUUGCACGCUGUCGCUGUCGCUGUCGCCGCCGCCGCCACUCCGAUCAUCGAAGCGAGCCCUUCCGGGGAUGAAGGUCAGCGGGGCGGACGCAGGCCCGCUUCGUCGUCUAACCUGCGGCGGUGGCUGCUCGGAGUGGCGGCGUGCGCUUGCGCCGGCGGAGAUUCCGAGGAGUCAGUGGGCGCCGACGAACUGGAGACGAGCGAGCGGUUCCCGGAAACAGAGAUCCCGGCGGAGGUCACCGCCGCGAGAUCGAGUGUGACGCCUGCGAGUGGCAGAUGCCUCCUCGAAGGCGACAAAACAACCCUUGCCGGAAUGGAUGGCCACCGCCGUGCCACCAACAAGGUUGAAGUAUCUACGCCAAUCUUGCAUCACCAAGCAGUAGCCACCUCCGACUCCGACGAGCGGCGGCGGCGCAUCAAAUCAUUGGAAAUGUUCCGGCCGGUGCCGGUGGGCGACCGUGGGAGCGCGCUCGGUUCAGCGACGCAAAGCUCUGCUUUUACAAUCGUCGCCGGAAACACGGCUCUGGGCGGUGAUGGCGACGCGCCGCGCGCGCCCAGCGGCGGCGGAGGGACCCCUGGCGAGGACGACGCGGCUCCGAGCGAGCUUGGGUGCGCGUACCCACCUAGCGAGGCCAGCGUUGUCUGGAGCGUGGUCACCGCGGACGGCGCGGCGUCCGGCAACUUCUCCAGCGCGGCGUCGGGGUACUACUACCACUACUGCUUCAACGACGUCGACGAAGGUGCGAUGCGGCGCACCGCUGCCAGGAACACUCGCAAGAGGAGAACCGGAAUGCUAAUGUGCAUGAGCGAGAAGGCAGUCGACGCUGUUGGGCCAGCUCGGUCCGUUCACCGGCAGGAGGUCCAGCCAGCUGCCGUGCCAACGCUGGGAGCUUCUCGCGGCAGCCGGAACGGCCAUGGACGUGAUUCGCCGCCGGUAGUCAGGUACUCCAGUAGGUUGGAUCUGGAGGCACCCGGCCGCCGGUAGAGCACUUGAGCUGUGCUCUGUGGACAGGGCUGCCUGUAAGGGCUAGAUGUUUGAUUUGGGCAAGUUCUUCGAGGAUUGUUUCUUGUGAGAAAAAGAGAACAAUCGUGUUCGACAUAAAAGUAUAUGUGUGAAGGAAAAACAUUUGAAGUGCCGGAUAAUCAAGAUGCUUACAUUGGUUUACAAACGAACUUUACACUCCAGAACUGAACUUCCGGAUGAUCUUUCAUUUAAAUCCGAAAUGUUACAACCGAAUUUU